CAGAGUUCGUGCCCUCACGGGUAGAUCUCCCACCCUGUGUUAUUAUACCUUUGUUGCUUUGGCGGGCCGCCCUCGGCUACCGGCCCCGGCUGGUACGCGCCCGCCAGAGGCUCUGCAAACUCUGAAUGUCAGUGUCGUCUGAGUACUAUACAAUAGUUA
rnacentral:misc_RNA from 1 species